UUCGUCACACUAUCAUUAACUGAAUCCAUAGGUUAAUGAGGCGAACCGGGGGAACUGAAACAUCUAAGUACCCCGAGGAAAAGAAAUCAACCGAGAUUCCCCCAGUAGCGGCGAGCGAACGGGGAGCAGCCCAGAGCCUGAAUCAGUGUGUGUGUUAGUGGAAGCGUCUGGAAAGGCGCGUGAUACAGGGUGACAGCCCCGUACACAAAAAUGCACAUGCUGUGAGCUCGAUGAGUAGGGCGGGACACGUGGUAUCCUGUCUGAAUAUGGGGGGACCAUCCUCCAAGGCUAAAUACUCCUGACUGACCGAUAGUGAACCAGUACCGUGAGGGAAAGGCGAAAAGAACCCCGGCGAGGGGAGUGAAAAAGAACCUGAAACCGUGUACGUACAAGCAGUGGGAGCACGCUUAGGCGUGUGACUGCGUACCUUUUGUAUAAUGGGUCAGCGACUUAUAUUCUGUAGCAAGGUUAACCGAAUAGGGGAGCCGAAGGGAAACCGAGUCUUAACUGGGCGUUAAGUUGCAGGGUAUAGACCCGAAACCCGGUGAUCUAGCCAUGGGCAGGUUGAAGGUUGGGUAACACUAACUGGAGGACCGAACCGACUAAUGUUGAAAAAUUAGCGGAUGACUUGUGGCUGGGGGUGAAAGGCCAAUCAAACCGGGAGAUAGCUGGUUCUCCCCGAAAGCUAUUUAGGUAGCGCCUCGUGAAUUCAUCUCCGGGGGUAGAGCACUGUUUCGGCAAGGGGGUCAUCCCGACUUACCAACCCGAUGCAAACUGCGAAUACCGGAGAAUGUUAUCACGGGAGACACACGGCGGGUGCUAACGUCCGUCGUGAAGAGGGAAACAACCCAGACCGCCAGCUAAGGUCCCAAAGUCAUGGUUAAGUGGGAAACGAUGUGGGAAGGCCCAGACAGCCAGGAUGUUGGCUUAGAAGCAGCCAUCAUUUAAAGAAAGCGUAAUAGCUCACUGGUCGAGUCGGCCUGCGCGGAAGAUGUAACGGGGCUAAACCAUGCACCGAAGCUGCGGCAGCGACGCUUAUGCGUUGUUGGGUAGGGGAGCGUUCUGUAAGCCUGUGAAGGUGUACUGUGAGGUAUGCUGGAGGUAUCAGAAGUGCGAAUGCUGACAUAAGUAACGAUAAAGCGGGUGAAAAGCCCGCUCGCCGGAAGACCAAGGGUUCCUGUCCAACGUUAAUCGGGGCAGGGUGAGUCGACCCCUAAGGCGAGGCCGAAAGGCGUAGUCGAUGGGAAACAGGUUAAUAUUCCUGUACUUGGUGUUACUGCGAAGGGGGGACGGAGAAGGCUAUGUUGGCCGGGCGACGGUUGUCCCGGUUUAAGCGUGUAGGCUGGUUUUCCAGGCAAAUCCGGAAAAUCAAGGCUGAGGCGUGAUGACGAGGCACUACGGUGCUGAAGCAACAAAUGCCCUGCUUCCAGGAAAAGCCUCUAAGCAUCAGGUAACAUCAAAUCGUACCCCAAACCGACACAGGUGGUCAGGUAGAGAAUACCAAGGCGCUUGAGAGAACUCGGGUGAAGGAACUAGGCAAAAUGGUGCCGUAACUUCGGGAGAAGGCACGCUGAUAUGUAGGUGAAGUCCCUCGCGGAUGGAGCUGAAAUCAGUCGAAGAUACCAGCUGGCUGCAACUGUUUAUUAAAAACACAGCACUGUGCAAACACGAAAGUGGACGUAUACGGUGUGACGCCUGCCCGGUGC
rnacentral:rRNA from 1 species